rnacentral:rRNA from 1 species
CAGUAGCCGCGGGAAUACGUAUGUCACGAGCGUUAUCCGGAUUUAUUGGGCGUAAAGCGCGUCUAGGUGGUUAUAUAAGUCUGAUGUGAAAAUGCAGGGCUCAACUCUGUAUUGCGUUGGAAACUGUAUAACUAGAGUACUGGAGAGGUAAGCGGAACUACAAGUGUAGAGGUGAAAUUCGUAGAUAUUUGUAGGAAUGCCGAUGGGGAAGCCAGCUUACUGGACAGAUACUGACGCUGAAGCGCGAAAGCGUGGGUAGCAAACAGGACUAGAUACCCGUGUAGUCCCUGUCUCUUAUACA